rnacentral:rRNA from 1 species
AUGGCCUUUUGAUAUUUAAUAAGAGGUUAGAUCUGCUCACUGAGAAUUAAAGAGCUGCAGUAUUAUGACUGUACAAAGGUAGCAUAAUCAUUAGUCUUUUAAUUGAUGACUGGUAUGAAAGAUUAGACAGGGUUAUUCUGUCUUUUAUUUAUUGAUUUAAGUUUUCUUUUGUGUGAAAAGACACAAGGGCAUUUAAGGGACGAGAAGACCCUUUUAAACUUAAUUAAAGGCAUAAAUUAUUAUUUAUAAAAGAUAAACUGCUAUAUUUUUUGCUGGGGCGGCAGAUAUUAUGUCAAUAUCUUUUAUAAACAAAAUGUUUGAAUAAAAAUAAGAUCCAUUGGUUUGAUUAGAAGAGUAAGUUACUGUAGGGGUAACAGCGUAAUGUUUUUUGAGAGUUCUUAUUGACAGAAGUGUUUGCGA